rnacentral:tRNA from 1 species
GGGCCUUGGAACUGCAAGGGGUGGUUGCCAGUUUUGCAAACUGGAUGUUCAGACGGGUUCAAUUCCCGUAAGGUCCA